rnacentral:rRNA from 1 species
AUACGGAGGGUGCAAGCGUUACUCGGAAUCACUGGGCGUAAAGCGCGCGCAGGCGGCUUGAUAAGUUGGAUGUGAAAGCCUACGGCUCAACCGUAGAACUGCAUCCAAAACUGUCAAGCUAGGGUCUGGGAGGGGAAGAUGGAAUUAGUUGUGUAGGGGUAAAAUCCGUAGAGAUAACUAGGAAUACCAAAAGCGAAGGCGAUCUUCUGGAACAGUACUGACGCUGAGGCGCGAAAGCGUGGGGAGCAAACAGGAUUAGAAACCCUAGUAGUCC